rnacentral:rRNA from 1 species
GGGGAAUAUUGCACAAUGGGGGAAACCCUGAUGCAGCGACGCCGCGUGGAGGAAGAAGGUCUUCGGAUUGUAAACUCCUGUUGUUGGGGAAGAUAAUGACGGUACCCAACAAGGAAGUGACGGCUAACUACGUGCCAGCAGCCGCGGUAAAACGUAGGUCACAAGCGUUGUCCGGAAUUACUGGGUGUAAAGGGAGCGCAGGCGGGAAGACAAGUUGGAAGUGAAAUCUAUGGGCUCAACCCAUAAACUGCUUUCAAAACUGUUUUUCUUGAGUAGUGCAGAGGUAGGCGGAAUUCCCGGUGUAGCGGUGGAAUGCGUAGAUAUCGGGAGGAACACCAGUGGCGAAGGCGGCCUACUGGGCACCAACUGACGCUGAGGCUCGAAAGUGUGGGUAGCAAACAGGAUUAGAUACCCUGGUAGUCCACACCGUAAACGAUGAUUACUAGGUGUUGGAGGAUUGACCCCUUCAGUGCCGCAGUUAACACAAUAAGUAAUCCACCUGGGGAGUACGACCGCAAGGUUGAAACUCAAAGGAAUUGACGGGGGCCCGCACAAGCAGUGGAGUAUGUGGUUUAAUUCGACGCAACGCGAAGAACCUUACCAAGUCUUGACAUCCCUUGACGAACAUAGAAAUAUGUUUUCUCUUCGGAGCAAGGAGACAGGUGGUGCAUGGUUGUCGUCAGCUCGUGUCGUGAGAUGUUGGGUUAAGUCCCGCAACGAGCGCAACCCUUACUGUCAGUUACUACGCAAGAGGACUCUGGCAGGACUGCCGUUGACAAAACGGAGGAAGGUGGGGAUGACGUCAAAUCAUCAUGCCCUUUAUGACUUGGGCUACACACGUACUACAAUGGCGUUAAACAAAGAGAAGCAAGACCGCGAGGUGGAGCAAAACUCAGAAACAACGUCCCAGUUCGGACUGCAGGCUGCAACUCGCCUGCACGAAGUCGGAAUUGCUAGUAAUCGUGGAUCAGCAUGCCACGGUGAAUACGUUCCCG